UACGGGGGGGGGCAAGCGUUGUUCGGAAUUACUGGGCGUAAAGGGCUCGUAGGCGGUCAACUAAGUCGGAUGUGAAAUCCCCAGGCUCAACUUGGGAACUGCGUCCGAUACUGGCAGGCUUGAAUCCGGGAGAGGGAUGUGGAAUUCCAGGUGUAGCGGUGAAAUGCGUAGAUAUCUGGAGGAACACCGGUGGCGAAGGCGGCUCUCUGGACCGAGACUGACGCUGAGGCGGCG
rnacentral:rRNA from 1 species